rnacentral:rRNA from 7 species
UUAAAUUGAAGAGUUUGAUCAUGGCUCAGAUUGAACGCUGGCGGCAGGCCUAACACAUGCAAGUCGAGCGGAAACGAGUUAUCUGAACCUUCGGGGAACGAUAACGGCGUCGAGCGGCG